rnacentral:lncRNA from 1 species
AUGUUACUCUCUCUUCUCAAUCUAUUCGGGAUCAAGCUACACUACUCAUCCAAACGUGGUCAAUAUCAAAAGGAUAAUUACAUUCUUGAUCCCCAGCCCGAGAUCAAUCCUUCAACUCGGUGGCUGGUACCAUUACCCGUCCACUGCAUGGCUGAAUCCAUGAAGAACCAACUGCCAGUGGUGCAAUACCGGGACUUUCUCAAGAUCAAAACAGGCCAACCAGCAGAAGCAGAAGAUGACUACAAUAACAAUGAUCAUAUGUGUAUUGUGUGCAUGAACAGCAUGGAAGGUAGCCAAGGGGUCAGAAAACUCUGCCAUUGUUCACAUGCUUUUCACAAGGAGUGCUUAGAUGUUUGGAUCGAUGAGGGUCAGCUCACAUGUCCUCUCUGUAGAUCUAACUUAUUGCCUAAUUCCACCCCAAAAUCAAAUCAUCAUCAUCACCAUAAGGACAUGGGAGAAUCUGGAGAGGAUCCAUGGAGGGCCGAGAGGAUGAUUUACUUGUUUGGUGAGGAUGAGCUUGCCUAA